UACGUAGGUGGCAAGCGUUGUCCGGAUUUACUGGGCGUAAAGAGCGCGCGGGGGUCGUUCAAGUUGCGUGGGAAAGCCCCCGGCUCAACUGGGGAGGGUCACGCGAUACUGAUCGACUCGAAGGCAGGAGAGGGAAGUGGAAUUCCCGGUGUAGUGGUGAAAUGCGUAGAUAUCGGGAGGAACACCAGUGGCGAAGGCGACUUCCUGGCCUGUUCUUGACGCUGAGGCGCGAAAGCUAGGGGAGCAAACGGG
rnacentral:rRNA from 1 species